UUCCUCUCCCUCUGGCGGAUCCCUGACCACGGUGCACAGACCUUCGGGCGGACCGUUGGGCGAUGUGGUUCUUGGCUUGCAGGCUGAGGUGCAUGCGACAGGGUCCUUCACCUCGAGCCGGGCAGAGCGCGGAUUAUCCGCAGUUGAUUGACUCGAGGCCGAGUCGGGUGGCUAGCUGGAAUAAGGUAGAUAGAACCUUGAGGGCUAGUGGUAAAUGUGUAAACCUAAGGUAAUAGAGAUCUUAGAGUUGGAUGAUAUGAACUAGAGUUAGCGAGAUCGAUUGUAGAAUCAAUAAUUCUACUAGUUGUUGCAUAUAUUCAUGUUGCAUAUAUUCCUGCUGCAUAUAGCAUGACAUCAUUGCAGUUGUGAGGCAAAGCAAGGUAAAGUUAGUUGCAUGUUUAUGAUAUACAUAUCUAUCUGUUUAUUGGACUAACUUGUAUUUGCCUCCCUUGGACCUGUUGGUCGAGCUCCUCCUGUCACACCCCGAAACUGAUACCAAUUUGGUCCAGUUCGGGCGCGUCGAACAGACGCCGGACGGACAGCACCUCCCCUGUCCGUCCAAGGCUAACAAAGAGAUUGUGUACAACAAGUCCCCAGGAAAAAUAACUUGAAUACAUACACAAUCGAUAACUACAACGAGAGCACAAUCAGUGCAAAACAACUAAGAGCAAGAUACAAGUAUAAGAUAUACAAGUAAUGAUAAAGAGAGAACAUCUAUCUAUUACAUUCA
rnacentral:lncRNA from 1 species